UAGGGAAUCUUCGGCAAUGGGCGAAAGUCUGACCGAGCAACGCCGCGUGAGUGAAGAAGGUUUUCGGAUCGUAAAACUCUGUUGGUAGAGAAGAACGUUGGUGAGAGUGGAAAGCUCAUCAAGUGACGGUAACUACCCAGAAAGGGACGGCUAACUACGUGUCAG
rnacentral:rRNA from 1 species